rnacentral:lncRNA from 1 species
GGUUGUGGCUGGUAGGGUGUGUUCGGACUUGGGUGUUGCACCAGUCACAGCUGUCAGCAGUAGCAGAACCCGAUAUCUUCUAGGUUUUCUGGAUGUCAGUGUCUUGUGUAGCAUUUGGGGCAGAGACUGAUGGGAAGCCCUACAAUGAAACAGUAUAAAGAAAUGUUGGGGAGAGCACCCAUAAAUUUUCCUGUCAGGGUCCCAGCUUUUCCCUCAGAGGGUCUCCAGGUGGCUAUCACCAGCUCAUCACUCCUAUUUUUCACUAUUCAGUAAAUUAUCCUGGGAAGAGUGGACUAAUCUAACUGUAACAUAACCCCUCCUACAAAACUACAACAUAACUGAGCAGUUUUUAUACAUGUAUGCCACCCAUCCCUGGUCCAUCCCUUCACCAGCUCCAUGCCAGGAGGAGAUAAAUUAAUCUGGAGGUAAGCCUUGUGCCUUUGGCUGAAAUGUAUGUGUGCAGGUUUGUUGCUGCUCUCUACUGGCCAAUCCAUAGUUAAACCCAUAAUCAUAGCCCGUAAAUCAGAGCCUUUAACCUGAGUAAUGCCUAUCUGUUUUUCUGAAGGUUGUUGCUCUGUGUCUGUUUGUAACAGAACCGUUGAAAUUGGAAGGGACAUCUGGAGAUCACAUAGCCUAAAGCAGUGG